rnacentral:tRNA from 1 species
GCCACUGUGGCCUAAUGGAUAAGGCAUCGGUCUUCUAAAUCGGGGAUUGUGGGUUCGAGCCCCACCAGGGGUG